rnacentral:rRNA from 1 species
CCUACGGGAGGCAGCAGUGGGGAAUAUUGGGCAAUGGGCGCAAGCCUGACCCAGCAACGCCGCGUGAAGGAAGAAGGCUUUCGGGUUGUAAACUUCUUUUAAGAGGGAAGAGCAGAAGACGGUACCUCUUGAAUAAGCCACGGCUAACUACGUGCCAGCGGCUGCGGUAAUACGUAGGUGGCAAGCGUUACCCGGGUUUACUGGGUGUAAAGGUGGUGCAGGCGGGAAGACAAGUCAGAUGUGAAAGCCCGCGGCUCAACCGCGGAACUGCAUUUGAAACUGUUUUUCUAGAGUAACGUGGAGGUAAUCGGAAUGCAUGGUGUAGCGGUGAAAUGCGUAGAGAUAAGACAGAACACCAGUGGCGAAGGCGGAUGACUGGACGGCAACUGACGGUGAGGCGCGAAAGCGUGGGGAGCAAACAGGAUUAGAUACCCGAGUAGUC